CCUAACGUCUGGGAGCGGCCUGCUUUGGGCCGGGCCUUGGCGCAGGCCGCGGCCCUGUGGGCGCUGCCAGGCCCGGGGAGGGGGGUGUCGUGUCCCCCCCCUCCUUCGCCGCCAUCGCCUCAGCCCCGCAGCUGCAGCCCGCCUCGCCUGCGGGGAAAAGCUUCAAAACUCCAAACUUCCCCUUUGUGGACCCACCGCACCGCGGGCCGGAGCACCAGAAAUAGCUUCUUUCCUGGCUGGGAGAAAAAAUCUUAUUUCAAAUGGUGCUGCUGAUGUCCUCUGCUCCACAGCAAAGCUUCAAGCAUGGGAGAGAGAGAAGGAGGCUACUUUCUGCUCAUGAAUGGCUACCAAACAUGCCCAGCAGAUGAAGGUGUUGGUGCUACCCCACGCCGGGGCUCGGAGCCAGCAAAGGGAGGGAGUGGACAAAGCAAACAGCUCAUUCCAGGCCCCAGCAAGGACCCCGGCUCGUUUCACUGUGAUAUACACUAAGACUCAACUCACACCCAGGGUCUGAAAUCUCUUUAUUUCCCUCUCUGCACACUUGGAAUGAGACGGGCCCAGCCCCGACCUGGCAGAGUCUUUUACUGACCUUGUUGAUGUGUCAGCGGCGAUGGCAGUCGGCUUGCUUCAGAGGGACCAUCAAAACAAAACAAUUCAGUGCAAUUAAUUCCUUCUCCCAGGGGAAGGGCUGGAUGAGGUUAAGUGAUUUGCCCCAGGAUCCUUCAGCAGAGCAGGUAGAAACCAGGCAGCAUCGGGAGUUUCACAUCUCUGCUAUCUCCCAGGGCCGUUCCAUGUCCACCCACAGCGACCAGCAUCGUCCCUCCAGGCUCAGUCUCUCUGUCCUGGUGUCCAGCCCUGUUGUGCUCCCCCUGAACAUCACCCCAAGCCCAUUCUGAGCACAGCCCCACAGACCUCAGCAGUUUGUUCUUCUGGAGUUUAAGAUGGUCUAAAUGGAGCUACACCAAGGACUCUGUAGCGCUGGGGUGUGUGGCCAGGAGAUAUGGCCAGUGCCAGACCCUCACAGAAUCUUCUAGGUUGGAAGGGACCUUAAAGAUCAUCUUGUCCAACUGUCAACCUAACUGACAAAAAUAGACACCCACACAACAAACAAGGAGCAUCAUCACUAAACCAGACCUCCCAGCACUACAUCAACCCUCGUGUGUGAGGAAGGAUUUUCCACCUCCCCCUCGCUUCCCCGAGCACUGACCUGUUCCCAGCGCCACACCAUGCAGGGGGGAGGCAGGUCCCUGCGCCAGCCCCAGCUGGAGAUGUGUCCCCAUCCCUCCUCUCCUGCCCCAGGUAAGGACAGCGGGAUUACUGGAGCCCAGCAAAGGGCUGGUGGGGGCUAUAAAUCACAGCCCAAGCUUGCGGUGACAGGGACAGCGCCGCGUGUGGGAUGAAGGCUCACAGGGAGCACCAGACGUGGUCACCAACAGGACACAAGAAAGAAAAGGAAACGUGGUCGGGACAAGAAGCCAAGAUCUCGCAGUUCCACCAAGGGCUUAGAAAUAAUCUUCUUGAUAAAUUUAUUUGGAUUGCAGCAGCGCGUACGCUGCGGGCAGCUCUCUAAACACGGGGACAGAAACUCCUCCACCUUCUCUAAACCUCGCAGCCUGCGGCGGCACAGCGGUGCCAGGGGAAUGACGUCCCAACACCCCGAUGUGCCCACAGCGGGAGGGAGAACUGAGCAUAAACCUCCUGAGUCACGGCUUGGGAGCUCGCAGGAGCGGCCGCCGUCCUCCUGGCAGCCACAUUUGCCCUGCAGACGGGGAGAACAACAAUCCUGCGGGGCAGAACCAGAGCCAAGGUUUCCCAAAUCUUCCCAUUCCGGAGCCGGUUAUCUGCGGCACACGCUCUACCUGCUCAGGCUGAAAUUCUGGUAUUUCUGAACACCGGGUAUUUGAUUUUGCAAUUUUAAUAAUCGCCUCUUCAGCCCAGUGGUUUUUCUGUGUAACAAUCACUAGAAAACACUCUUCAGCCUCCUACUAAGUUACGAUAAAAGCUAUUUAGAGACAAAAGUUUGGGCACAAAAUAGGGGCAGAUAUUUGAAGGCUGGAGCCAUCCCUCCGCCUGCAGCCCAAGGGUCACCGGAGCCCACCCAGACCCCGCAUGACAUCUCUCUGAGCAUCAACACUGCUGAGAUUUUCCCUUUUUAAAUCCUUUACAUCUAUCUCAGCUGUGAAUUGCAGGAUUUUGAGGUGACCUGCAUCACUCCCCUGGCUGCUGAGGAUGAGCAUCGGGACGCAAAGGAGCCACACAGGGCAGCAAAGGAGCCACACAGGGCAGCAA